rnacentral:rRNA from 1 species
AUUGAACGCUGGCGGCAUGCUUUACACAUGCAAGUCGAACGGUAACAGGCCGCCAGGUGCUGACGAGUGGCGAACGGGUGAGUAAUGCAUCGGAACGUGCCCAGUCGUGGGGGAUAACUACUCGAAAGAGUAGCUAAUACCGCAUACGAUCUAUGGAUGAAAGCGGGGGACCGUAAGGCCUCGCGCGAUUGGAGCGGCCGAUGUCAGAUUAGGUAGUUGGUGGGGUAAAGGCUCACCAAGCCAACGAUCUGUAGCUGGUCUGAGAGGACGACCAGCCACACUGGGAAUGAGACAAGGCCCAGAAUCCCACGGGAGGCAGCAGUGGGGAAUUUUUGAAAAUGGGCCGCAGGCUGAUCCAGCAAUGCCGGCGGGAGGAAGAAGGCCCUCGGGUUUUAAAACUGUUUUGUUAGGAACGAAACGGGUUUUGGUAAUACCCGGGGCUAAUGACGGUACCGUAAGAAUAAGCACCGGCUAACUACGUG